GACACGAUGAUGUCAUCAUCGCCGAGCAGCCCCAACGCCUGCAUCUUCACAAAGCUCCAUCGCGGGCUCCGGAAACCGGGCUGGGGGUGGGGAGGCGAAGACCCUCCCUCUGCCCCAGCCCCUCCCGCCUCGCCGGGACCGCCCGCAUUGUGUAGCUUUGAAAUGCAAACGAGCCGCGGCCCGGGAGCUGGGGCCCCAGAAAGGAGGGGCGUGGUGGUCGGGUGGGCUGACCACCGAGAGUAGGGGGCUCAGCCCUGCUGGCUCAUCCCUCCAGGAAGGAGGAAAUGGUCUCUCCCGGCCCAGGACCAGGGGGACGGUUGGAGGAACAGGUACAGGUGGUUUGGGGCACACCUGGGAACCCCACCGUCCCCCUCAUGCUGUACAUUCAACACAACCGCUUCCUGCGCUCCCAGCCCAGACUCACAACUGAAUUCAAAUGGAACCUCUGAUGGCGACGUGGCCAAGGACGUUUGGAUGGGCUCUUCUGAUACUGACACUCGAGGUCACAGUAGUUCCAGAGCUUCACGGGGACUGACUUUCCACUGCUGCUAUUCAGUAUCAGUGUCAAACAGAAUGCCAGAGGAUCAACAUCGUUCUGUGGGAUGUAACAACAUGAAAUUUCCAGGAAACAUUGAGAAGGUUUACUUUUGCAUUUAUAUGAAAAUAGCUAAUGAUUAUGUCAAUCUUGCAGGGAAGGUAGCUGUCAGGGGUGGCGUGAUGAGGCGUGCUCUGGAAAGCACCUCCCGGGGAAGCUGUCACUCAAUGUCAGCAUUGGGUGUCACUUGGUGGCAAGGAUCCUGCAACCUGUUCAUCCUGUCAUCAUUCUCAGCACCCUGGGGGUUUGUUUCGCUGUCAGAAAACAGACCUCUUGGGCUCCAUAUGCAGGUGAGGGCCCAAAGAAGCUUACCACGCGGAGCUGAAACAUUGGUAAGCUCUAACCUGGGCUGGUACUGUUCUGAGGAAAGUGGCCCUUUCCCUGGGCACCUAGGGACUGGCCUUCAGCCAAGCCUGGUACUCAGAAAAUACAUGAGGAAAAAAUGAGGAACCACAAUUAGAACUCAUCUGCCAACUUUUAAAAACAUUUUUCAGAUGAUGUCCAAAAGCACAAAGCCAUCUAAAUGUCCUUACCCUGAGUAGGUAGAGGUUCUGCUGCGAUAACAAGAUAGGGUUUGAAAUGAGACCGGAGUUCAAAUCCUGACUUUUCCCUCAUUAGCUGUGUGGCCUGAGCCGACUGCUUAACCAUACUGAACCUUAUUUCCUCAGCUGACAAAAGAGGAAAAGCAUCUAUUUUGCAAGGACAUUGGAAAAAGUAAAUUAAAUACCAUCUAUGAAUGCCCAGGACCAGGAUUCUUCUUUAUAAGGUAAAAAUUUCCCCCAAGUAUGUGGGGAAAAGAAAGAGAUCAGCCUGUUACUGUGUCUAUAUAGAAAGAAGUAGACAUAAGAGACUCCAUUUUGUUCUGUAUUUGAGAUGCUGUUAAUCUGUGACCCUACCCCCAACCUUGUCCUUGCAAGAGACAUGUGCUGUGGUAACUCAAGGUUUAAUGGAUUUUGGGCGUGCAGGGUGUGACUUUGUUCCUAGAUAAGCUAGGUAUUGUCUAAGGUUUCUCCCCAUGUGAUAGACUGAAACUAUGCUGCCAAAAGGUUUAUGGAGAUGUUUGCAUAUGCAUCUCAAGGCACAGCUUUGUCCUUUGAACUUAUUCAUGUCACAGAGGUUUUUGUUCAUAUGUCUUACUGCUGAUUUCCUCUUUUUUCUUUGAUCCUAUUGUCCUGCCACUCCCCUGUCUUUAAAAUGGUAAAGAUAAUUAUCAAUAAAUACUAACGGAACUCAGAGACCGGGGCCGGCGUGGGUCCUCUGUAAGCUGAGCGCUGGUCCCCUGGGCCCCCGCUUUUCUUUCUCUAUA